rnacentral:lncRNA from 1 species
CUACAUCCACUCCCCAAGACCUCUUGGAAAUUUCACUAUAAUUCCUCAGAUUACAGUCGGUUGUUUUACAAGCUCACAACCCAACUUGUUGUUUUGCGAGAUCAUAACGAACUCGGUCGGUUUUCACAGGCUCACCGACUAGAACCUACCGAUUGUUUUCACGGGCUCACAAUCCAACCCAGUUGGUUUUCCCAAAGGCUCACCAACCACAACCUUACAACAUUGGUUUUCCCUUUGGCUCACCAACAAACCUUAACACCGUUGGUUUUCCUUUGGCUCACCAACAAACCUUAACCCCUUG